rnacentral:lncRNA from 1 species
AUUCCCGCACCAUUCCCGCACCAUUCCCGCACCAUUCCCGCACCAUUCCCGCACCAUUCCCGCACCAUUCCCGCACCAUUCCCGCACCAUUCCCGCACCAUUCCCGCACCAUUCCCGCACCAUUCCCGCACCAUUCCCGCACCAUUCCCGCACCAUUCCCGCACCAUUCCCGCACCAUUCCCGCACCAUUCCCGCACCAUUCCCGCACCAUUCCCGCACCAUUCCCGCACCAUUCCCGCACCAUUCCCGCACCAUUCCCGCACCAUUCCCGCACCAUUCCCGCACCAUUCCCGCACCAUUCCCGCACCAUUCCCGCACCAUUCCCGCACCAUUCCCGCACCAUUCCCGCACCAUUCCCGCACCAUUCCCGCACCAUUCCCGCAUCAUUCCCGCAUUCCUCGGGGGCCCGGGUGCCACAUGAGUCACACUUCCUCCCUACGCCCAUCGCAGCGCGGUGCCGCCGCUAUUUUUGGACGCUGCAGAGAGCGGAUCAGCCCCGAGAAGCGCAGUGAGAGAUGUCCCCGGGCCGGGCUGGGGAACCCCCGGACCCCGAGCUCCCCGCGCUGUCGGGAUGCGUGGGAACUCCCCGCUCAUCCCACGGCCGCUCCUGAGUCAGCAGCGAGCUGGAGCACCAUCCUAGUGGCAAAAUAUUACCUUUUAAAGGGUUUGUGUGCGCUCGGGGUGGGACUUCGUGCGGUGCCAGCUUGGCGUUGAUCAUUGUGCUCCCAAGGAGCGGAUCAUUCCCAGUUAUUUUUACUCCCAACCCCCGGUGUUUUAGCUGGGGCCGCAGUGCCUCACUAAGUGUCUGUGAGGAAAACCGGGCACCGUCCAGCUCGGGAAUGGAGGGGUGGAUGAAAUCCGAGGCGGGAUCAGCAGCUGAGUGUCACAGCCGGGCCUUCCUGGCCUUCCCCGCUCGGAAGGAUCUGGUUUCACGGGAUGCUGCACGCACACCCACACCAUUCCACACCUGCCACGCCAUCCCUCUUCCCUGUGCUCCUCCAGGAUGUGUCCCAGUCGGGGAUUGUUCUCCUCUCAGAGCAGUGAUUGUGUUGCUCAUCCUCCGCCCGGGGGGUGCCCAAGGGCAGCGGCCGCGACCCCGCAAUGCUCCGGAGCAAACCCGGAGGGGAGCAGGGAGGCUGCGGCUCUGCCGGGCAGGUGGUGGCUUGGCAAACUUCAGCUCCGCUUUUUGUGGCUGGAGCUUUUGCCUGGAGACAAGCAGCUCCUGCCCCUCGCAGCAUCCCGACCUUGCCGGGAUAAAAUUAGCGCCGUUUCACUUUGGAUUAAAGUGACAAACUGAGGUAACGUCUGUGACACUACAGCCUCUCCUACGGGAAGAAGGUCCGAAACCCGACAGCUGAGGGAACUGGAAAUAAAAACCUGACAACCUACGGACACAGCGACCUCGACGGGGACAGAAAUCACAGCGGGCACCCCCUGGGACACAGCCGGGCGGUGCCACCGAGCCCUCCCGGGCCGCCCGGGAUCCCUUAUCUACAUUAUUGCACGAAAGAUCGAGGACAUCGAGGGACCUAAGGCAAAGAGGAGUAAAACCGGUGCCUAGCUCUCUACGUGGGGCAAUGCUACGUCUAACGCCGGGCCCGGGGGUGCCGGGGACGGGGGCACGGCGGGGGCUGGGGGCGGCCCCUGCUCUGUAAACUGCUGCUGCUGCUGCUGCUGGAAAGCGUUAUAGCCCUUUGUGGGGAAUUGGGGCACCGGGGCGGCCCCACGGCACCCACCCCAUGGGAGGGAAGCCCGAAGCGCAGCAGGGUGCUCCUGCCUUGGGGUGCCCCCACAGCGUCCCCGCUCCGCUGGGUGCCCAAAUCCAGCAGGGAAGGUGGGACCUCCACACACACCCCACGACCUUGUCACUAAGGGGGCGCCGGUGGCUGCUGCCACCACGCCCUGCCUCGCCGCAGCCAGCCCCGGCAGGGUCUAUCCCGCUGCCGCUUCCCCGCCAGCCCCAGGGGAGGGUGACAGCUUUGGGGACGGGGUGACAGCAAGGAGGGGUGAUGGGGACAGCACAGAGAGGCCGCUCGGAGCUCCCUGCCCUGCUCCUGUGCGGGCCAGCCUGGGGGGCACCGCUGCCGCCUCCUCCCGUCCCUGGGUACAAGAAUUCUGCAGGGGCACCACGGGGACACCAGCACGGCUGAGCCAGCCCGGCCCCGAGCAUCCAACCCGCGGGACGGCCGGGCACAGCCCCGGGCGCAGGGAGCAUCCCUCCGGCAGGGCAGGGGACAGGGACUGCCGGGGACAGGGGCUGGGACACACGGACACACAGA